rnacentral:rRNA from 1 species
GAUGAACGCUGGCGGCGUGCCUAAUACAUGCAAGUCGAGCGAACAGACGAGGAGCUUGCUCCUCUGACGUUAGCGGCGGACGGGUGAGUAACACGUGGAUAACCUACCUAUAAGACUGGGAUAACUUCGGGAAACCGGAGCUAAUACCGGAUAACAUGUUGAACCGCAUGGUUCAACAGUGAAAGACGGUCUUGCUGUCACUUAUAGAUGGAUCCGCGCCGCAUUAGCUAGUUGGUAAGGUAACGGCUUACCAAGGCAACGAUGCGUAGCCGACCUGAGAGGGUGAUCGGCCACACUGGAACUGAGACACGGUCCAGACUCCUACGGGAGGCAGCAGUAAGGAAUCUUCCGCAAUGGGCGAAAGCCUGACGGAGCAACGCCGCGUGAGUGAAGAAGGUCUUCGGAUCGUAAAACUCUGUUAUUAGGGAAGAACAAAUGUGUAAGUAACUAUGCACGUCUUGACGGUACCUAAUCAGAAAGCCACGGCUAACUACGUG